rnacentral:rRNA from 1 species
AGCUCCAAUAGCGUAUAUUAAAGUUGUUGCAGUUAAAAAGCUCGUAGUUGAAUUUCGAGGUUCGUUGACUGCUCGGUGCUUAGCGCCGUUGCGGUGGUUCGGACUUCUCCUUCUGGUGAACAUGUAUGCACUUAACUGGGCUGCAUGGGAGUCAGGACGUUUACUGUGAAAAAAUUAGAGUGUUCAAAGCAGGCGAAAGCUUGGAUACCUCAGCAUGGAAUAAUGAAAUAGGACUUCAGUUCUAUUUUGUUGGUUUUCGGAACUCGAAGUAAUGAUUAAUAGGGAUAGUUGGGGGCAUUCGUAUUUGAUUGUCAGAGGUGAAAUUCUCGGAUUUAUGAAAGACGAACUUCUGCGAAAGCAUUUGCCAAGGAUGUUUUCAUUAAUCAAGAACGAAAGUACG